CCUACGGGAGGCAGCAGUAGGGAAUUGUUCGCAAUGGGCGCAAGCCUGACGACGCAACGCCGCGUGGAGGAUGAAGACCUUCGGGUCGUAAACUCCUUUCGACCGAGAUGAACACCUGUCGACCUAAUACGUUGACAGGCUGACAGUACCGAGGGAAGAAGCCCCGGCUAACUCCGUGCCAGCAGCCGCGGUAAUACGGGGGGGGCAAGCGUUGUUCGGAAUUACUGGGCGUAAAGGGUUCGUAGGUGGCCAACUAAGUCAUACGUGAAAUCCCGCAGCUUAACUGGGGAACUGCGUCUGAUACUGGUUGGCUUGAGUGCAGGAGAGGAACGCGGAAUUCCAGGUGUAGCGGUGAAAUGCGUAGAUAUCUGGAGGAACACCGGUGGCGAAGGCGGCGUUCUGGACUGCAACUGACACUGAGGAACGAAAGCCAGGGGAGCAAACGGGAUUAGAUACCCCUGUAGUCGCC
rnacentral:rRNA from 1 species